GCUUGGUGACUUCCUGUGAUGCUAUACAGAAUGGAUCUCAGUGUUAUGGAGCUCUGGGAGGAACUGUCUAUCUCCAGCUGGUGACUGAUGCCACGAGAUAUGAUGCACUCUCAUUUUGGAAAGGCUCAACCGGUGCUAAAACAGGGAUACUGAAAAUGAGGAUGGACAAAUGGGUAAUAAGAGACACCCCCAUUAAAGACAGAGUACACUUCUUUAUAAACAAUGGGACAUUUAGGUUAAAUAACACAAGAAGGAAUGAUUCUGGUGAAUACCUGCUCGAAAAACAUGAAUCAGAUGGGAGAUCAUCAGGGAUCAGAGGACUACAACUGUUCAUCGAAGGUAAAUAACUUACUUGCCAUUUUUUUUUUAUUUUUUACAAAUGAUAACUUUCACAAGCUCUACAUAUUGCUCGGGCUAAACUACACAUAUGUGACUGCUUAAUAAUCAAAAUAAUGAGAAAUGCAUUUUAUGUGUAGUCAUUCAACAGGAGUCAUUUUUAUUUUCAUAGUCUACUGUAGUUGGUACAUAGAGUCAUAACCACAUCCAUCAACAUUAAAUCAUCUGUUGGUUAUUUGAAAUACAGUCAUUAUGUGUCAUGAAUCUGCUGCUCCUGUUGACUACAGUAGUUUCUGUGGCUUUAAAGAAGAAUGGCUGGUGUUGUGUUGUAAUGUGUUUUUCCCUCUUACUACAGUUACAUAUCCUUCUUCCCCCACAGCUCCAGUGUCCAGUCCUCAGCUGUCCUCUGAGUGUCAGUCUCAUGGAGAGAUGAGGGUGUCCUGCUCCUCUGAGGGGGAUGGUCCCCAGUACAGCUGGACUCUGAAUGGACAGACGCUGAACGACACUGAUGCCCCUCCUUAUAAUAUGACAAACACCAUCACUCUGAAAAAAGGCCUGUCAGGAGAUCUCACCUGUACUGUCAGAAACAACAUCAAUAGUGAUACUGUCAGCAGGAGAAUCUCACACUGUCCAGGGCUGAUAUAUGUUAACUGCACCUUAUCCAACGGGACAAAGAUAUCAGAGUGGGUGAAUGCCACUGGUAAUACCCUGUGUGUUGAGUCUACAACAGUGGUGACUGUGACUGAGUCUCCCACCAGUAAAAUCUUCACUGGUAAGGGCCCGGGGCAUGACACCCUAAUGACCUCCAGACCCAGCAAUCACACCCAGGGCUUGACUAACAGCACUUGUACUAACACCACUCAGACCCUUUGGAUUUUUACCACAAAGUACAUAGGGAUGGCAGCAGGGUCUCUGGCAGGAGUGGUCCUUGUCUUAUUGAUGGUGUUGGCAGUUUACUGUGUCCAGAAGAAAAAUAAACCUCCUUCAAAGGCUCAAGUUAUCUCUCUUUCCACAGUUAAGGGUGACAGCCAGGAUGUGGAAUACGCUGAUGUCAGGAUACUGAGGCAGGAAAUGAGACAGAAGGAGAGGGAGGCGCCGGUGGAGGUGGAAUAUGGGCAAGUGAACGAAGUGUGUGGUCCCCAGCAGCCGGUGGAGGUGGAGUAUGGACAGAUUACAAUAUUAGAGGGUCCCAGGAGGAAGGUAGACAUGCCUGAGGAGGAGUAUUGCAUGUAUGCCAGUGUACGGAAAGGACAGUGA
rnacentral:lncRNA from 13 species